UCUAAUACCGGAUAAUACUUCCACUCUCCUGAGUGGGGGUUGAAAGCUCCGGCGGUGAAGGAUGAGCCCGCGGCCUAUCAGCUUGUUGGUGAGGUAAUGGCUCACCAAGGCGACGACGGG
rnacentral:rRNA from 1 species